UGGGGAAUUUUGGACAAUGGGCGAAAGCCUGAUCCAGCAAUGCCGCGUGUGUGAAGAAGGCCUUCGGGUUGUAAAGCACUUUUGUCCGGAAAGAAAUCCUUGGCUCUAAUACAGUCGGGGGAUGACGGUACCGGAAGAAUAAGCACCGGCUAACUACGUGCCAGCAGCCGCGGUAAUACGUAGGGUGCAAGCGUUAAUCGGAAUUACUGGGCGUAAAGCGUGCGCAGGCGGUUUGCUAAGACCGAUGUGAAAUCCCCGGGCUCAACCUGGGAACUGCAUUGGUGACUGGCAGGCUAGAGUAUGGCAGAGGGGGUAGAAUUCCACGUGUAGCAGUGAAAUGCGUAGAGAUGUGGAGGAAUACCGAUGGCGAAGGCAGCCCCCUGGGCCAAAUACUGACGCUCAUGCACGAAAGCGUGGGGAGCAAACAGGAUUAGAUACCCUGGUAGUCCACGCCCUAAACGAUGUCAACUAGUUGUUGGGGAUUCAUUUCCUUAGUAACGUAGCUAACGCGUGAAGUUGACCGCCUGGGGAGUACGGUCGCAAGAUUAAAACUUAAAUGAAUUGAC
rnacentral:rRNA from 1 species